GACGAACGCUGGCGGCGUGCUUAACACAUGCAAGUCGAACGAAGUGGCGAACGGGUGAGUAACGCGUAAACAACCUGCCCUUCAGAGGGGCAUAACAGUUGGAAACGACUGCUCAUACCGCAUACUGGAGGAGGGGAUUGCGUCGGAUUAGCCAGUUGGAGGGGUAACGGCCACACAAGGCGAUGGUCAGUAGCCGGUCUGAGAGGGUGAACGGCCACAUUGGGACUGGGACACGGCCCAGACUUCUACGGGAAGGAGCAGUGGGGGAUCUUCCGCAAUGGACGAAAGUCUUGCGGAGCAACGCCGCGGGAGUGAUGGCGGCCUUCGGGUUGUAAAGCUCUGUUAAUCGGGACGCGGUACCGGAAUAGAAAGCCACGGCUAACUACGUGCCAGCAGCCGCGGUAAUUC
rnacentral:rRNA from 1 species